AGGGAGGAAGCCAGGCUGCGGCGGACCCAGCUGACCAAAGGAACUACAGAAGAGGACGAAGAAAGCGAGGGGGAAAGGGCGAGGGUUAUUAACUGAGUUGAUGGAAUAAGGUAGUGGCUCCAAACUUCACGGCUCAUUAGAGCUUGAAAAAAAAAAAUCAGACGCCGGGUCGCACAGAAGUAAUUAAACCAAUCCCUCUGGCGGUGGGGCCCAGGCGUCGGUACUUUUUUUAAUUUCCCACUUGAAUCCAAUGGGAAUCCAAGUUUAAGGGCUAGAAGACCAGAGAGCGACAGACAGGGAGGAGGCGCGCCAGCCAGGGGCCGAGGCACAUGCGGGCCGGCAACAGCGAAGGCUCCGCCUCUUCCUGUGGCUCGGAGGAGCCGCGGAACCCCCAACGCGCGACUCAGACGGAGACACCCACUCUUUCGGCGCUAGCGGCGGCUGGAAGGGACGAGAGCCUGGCCUAGGAGGAAGGAGGCGGCUCCAGGACCGCAUUACCUGAUCAGAGCCGCGACCCUCAUGCUGGGCGCAGUGCGCGUGCGUGCGGCGAGCGCGGGCGGGAGCCAGGAGGUCGCGCCGCAGCUCGCGUGACGCACCGCGGGGCCUCGCCCGGGUGUUCGCUCCGCCGCCUGUCCGCGGAUCGGCGCUGCGAGCCCCGCGGCUGCCUGCGGGACACCUGAGCGCGGAGGGUGCGGCACCUUGGCACCUUGACCCUGUGGCAGGGACAUCUCGGCCCAGGAAAGAAUGAGGUUUAGGCACGGCCUAACCACCUAAGUGAGGGCACUGAAGCUGCCGGGGGAAGGGCAAGGUCCGCGUUGCAGAGCCCAAGCCCAGUGGCGCAGGAUUUGUUUUGGUAAGAGGGGAUUUAGCGUCCCAAUUGCUGCAAAUUGACACAGUUGCGGACGUGCAAGCGCAGAAGAAAUUUGUCCUUCCUCACCCCACAGAACAGAAACAACUGUACACUUCUGCUUUUUAACUUACAUCUCCUCUGUCCUCCAAACCUGUGUGUCCAGAUGUGAAACUCAGAUCCCCAGGGGCUGUGGUAAUUUUUAAAUCUGGGGCUAGCCCCCCCCACCUCUAGGCCCUCUGUGGCUUUGGCUCUUGGUCAAGCUUGUGUAUUUGACAAGGCCAGGCCAGGCUCUUCACCAAAGAGCAAUGGCCUUGCAGAAAGAAAAUCUAGCUUCUAAGUUUAUUUGCCAAGUAUGUAUUGAGUGCCUUUCGUGUACCAGGCACUGUUUUAGACUCUGUGGAUACAACCGUAAAUAAAACAAAAACCCGGCAUUCCGGGCAUAGAGCUUAAAUGGGGAUGGAGAGAACAGACAAUACAUAUCUUAAAGGUAAAUAGUCUGUUGAAGAGUGAAAAGUGCUAUUGGAAAGGGGCGGGGUGCGGUGGGGGAGAGUCAGGAGAGAGGUGGAGAGGCAAAUUGCAGAAUUAAAUCGUGUCUAUGUAGGCCUUAUUGGUAAGAUGAGAGUUGAGCCAAUUUAAAUAAGGAGAGUUCGCUAUGUGUAUGAUUGGGGUGUGCUCCAGACAAGAAAAAAAAAUCGAAGGCUCUAGGUGCGUUGUGUGUUUGUGGAAGAUUAAGGCAGAUCCGUGUUGCUGGAGCAGAUUGAGCAAAGCAGAGAGUAGUGGAGAGCAGGUUAAGGUGAUGGAGGGGAAGGAUUAUAUAGGGUCUUGUAGGUAAUUGCAGACUUUUGAAGGGUGUGACUUAAAAUUUUAAAAGGAUUGCAGUGUUGAGAAUCCACCUAUUAGGAAGCUGUUACAGUGUUCCAGUAGAGAGAUGGCGGAGCCUAGAAUCAACAUGGUGAAUUUGGUGAGAAGUAAGAGGAUUCCAGCUCUAUUUUGAAGAUAGAGCCAAUAGAAUCAAAUUCGAUAUGGGAUACAAGAGAAAGAAAGUCAUGAGGGAUGAUGCCAAAGGCAUGAAUUAAGUAAGUUAAUAUAUGUAGGGAACUUAAAAUUAUGCCAGGUACAUAGUAAGCAUUCAAUUUUAUUUUGACAUUCUCAACUCUAAUAGUAGGGGUGACUAGAGCAGUGACAGUCUACAUAUCAGUUUUAGCGUCUAGAAUCAUACAGCUUUAAGAUUUUGCAGUUAUGAAUAUUUACCAAAUGAGUCAAGUAUUUAAGAAGUUUGCAGUCUAAUUGGAGGAGAUAAAUACGUGAAACACACUUAAAAUGAUACAGCUCCAAUGAGUGGAAGAAGCACCAGGGCUCUCGUCUCAUGCCGAAUUGGGUAAAAUGACACAGACACACAUGGAGUGGUUUUAAGGGGUGGAGAAUUUAAUAGGCAAGAAAGAAGGGUGAAGAAAGGAAGAAGCUCCCCUGUAGAGACACAUGGAAGUGGGCUCCAAAGCCUAGAGAGGAAACCCCCAGUGCUGGGGUUAACAGGCAGUUAUAUGAGGAGACUGGAAGAGGCGGUGUCAGAUUUGCAUAGGGCUCAGGGGAUUGGUUUGACCAGGCAUGUCAUUCACAUAGCCCACGAAAAACCUGGCUCUCCCACCCUAGCCUUUUAAUAUGCAAAUGCAGGUCGCCUUGAUGUUCUACACGUGUGGCGAUAUGUGGGGAUGGCCAUACAGGCAAGGGCAAGAGGACAGCGGUGGCUAUCGCCAUGUUUGUGUGGACCCAGUUUCUAAUGGCCUGCAUUUGCAUAUCAAAGGUCGCCAGCCGGGCUCUAAGAGCAGGGGCUUUCCUGCUAGACAAGAAACAUUUCUGGAGCUGCUUUAAAAGAGACAAAAACUUUCCAAGGACCCCUUUUCCUAUCUGCCUAAAAUUAUUUUUUUAAUAAAUCCUAUAACAGUAAUCCAAGAUAACACAUUUUGAAAGUAACAAGUUAUGUAAUGUGUAUGGCAAGAGUCCCAUGAGUCAAACUCACAGGGUAAUGGCUGGAAUGAGGAUGGGACUUGAAAGAUGAGUAGAAUUGAACAGGAAUGGGCGGAACUUCCAAACAAAGCAAGGCAAGAAUGAGCGUGGUGUGUUGAACAACAGGGGGUAGACUAGCUUGACUAAUUUGGAAGGUAUAUGGGAAAGAAGAAAAAAUAAGUUGAAUAAAUAGGAUGAGGCCAGUUUAUCCAGGGUCAUGGAAAACCAAAAUGAGGAAUUUCAAAAUAAGGCAGGUUACUGUGGCUACUUGACAUCAUUUUUCAGGAGAUUGUGUGAAAUAGCAGUAAUGAACAUGAUGAAUGAUUUUGAUAAAAUAGGCACUCCCAAAGAUGCCAAUGGAUUAUCUUUUCCACCAAGGGAUAUCUUUUCCUUGCCACUUCCCAGGAGGGAUAAAGAGAGAAGAUUCUAAGGCUACCUUCCUAAAACUACAUCUUUAGGAUUAUUUUUUUGUUUCUCUUUGCGCUCUGUAGGCUUCAUUUUAAGACAUCCUCAACAAACAGGUUUAUUACAGUGUGUAUAUCCUGGCAUUAAACUGUAUGUUAGGAAAUAUGUUGAGGCCGUUCUCCAAGGUCACCCAGUUUUUAGCUUGAUGGUGUUGCUUUCCCCACUCGAUUCUUUCUAGCACCUGUGGUAUCUCUCCUCCAGGUCCUUUUGACCCCUUGAACAAAAUUUCUCUCAGCACCUAUUCCCUCCUUUUAAAACUUUCUACCAGAAUUAUUUAAAUUAAUGAAUGUUUCUGGUUGCCUAAUGUAACACUGCAACGUGUAUUUUCUUAAAAAUUUUUAUAUUUCCUCACAUUAGUGCCUUUCUCUCAGCAUUACCACACAAGGCUCUGUGCUUGAAUGUCCUAUCAAGGCCACCAUAAAAAUGGUAGGUUCAAUUCAUUUUGGUUCAAUAGACAUAUUGGUAUUUCCGAAAUUAAUAUAUGUCAGAUUGGUCUUGACCCAGCCAUCAAAGUUAUUCUUAGAGUCAUACAUAUUUUUGAAGUUCUUUUUUUUUAUAGCUAACUGAACAAAACCAGAUUAAUUAUUGACCCCUGAAAAACUUGUUAAAAACUAGAGAUUAGGCCAUGCUCUAACUUUUCCCAUUGAGAAUCUUUCUUAAUUCAUUGUAGUCACCUUUGUGGGUGUCAUUUUCUUUUGCCGAAAUUUAAAAGCAACACCCAGUUUGUCAAUUACAGGUUUCUGAGAAGCAGAUGCCAAGACGGGAUUACAUGUGCAGGAGAUAAGAGAAAAUGCCUGUGAAGGACAAAGGGAGACCAGCAAGAGAAGGCAGGGAGACUCCGAUUGGAAUGCAGGGGAGUCGAAAUCUGAAAAAGCAGAAUGGGAAGGAAGAAUAGGUUGAAAGAACCUGUUUGUAAUGUCAUUCUGAGAGACUCAGCCAGGUCAAUGGGGAGUCCUAAGCCAAAGUUGUUCAUUAGAGGAAUUCCAAAUUGGUCAGGAUCUGCUGUGCUCAGUAACUGUCUGAGAGCAGUGCAGGAAAAACUUAGUCCGGUGCAAACUCAGUGGUGAAUCCAAAAGUGCAGUAGGCGGAGACUGUAAAUCAAUUCAUAAUAACAUUCAUGGUGUCGCUUCAUGAUUUCUGUAAACCUCUCUAAAAACUUAGGAAAGGGAAGUUAAUAGGACAAACUAUCAUCACAGGUGGUCUGGGACCACACUAGUACUUACCCUGUCCUACACUAUCCACUCUAUAUUCCCAUCACUCUCAGCUCUCACUUCAGCAGAUCUUGUUGACUUACUUGGUGGCAUGACCUAAACAUUCACUCCUAAGUGGUCUUGGGCUUUUGUCAUCAUACUCUUCUCAGUCCGUGACUGCAGUUUGUGUCCAUUCACAGUUAGAACUAGGUAAGGGCAUACCAAGAGGCACCCAAGUGGAUCAUCUGAGUUUCACAUGUGUAUUUCUCCCUGUCCCCAAGGUGUAAAGGUGGCCCCACCUCCUCAUACUAAUCAAUUAUCCUUGCUUGCUGGCCCCUGGCUGCAAAGAGCCAAAAGUGUCGUGCUAUACAUAGCUUAUAGUUCAAUGGAUUCCCGCUCUACCCCUUUGCAAGAGAGAAAACCUGUAAUUCUACUCAACCCAGAGUUGGGGAAAGUGAAGCACAGAGUUCUCCAGUGGGUUAUUAGGAGUGAUUUUAAAUAAAGCCAUUUGUGAUUUCACCUUUUGGUUCCUAGAUCCAUGUAUUUGCCGUACUAGAGACACAGUGCCAUGUAGAAAUCUCUGAUUAGUGCCUAUACUAAAUACUGAGAGAUGUCAUGCCAUCCUUGCAGAUUAUUGUCUCUGAGCUGCUGAUUUCGCUGUGACUUAAGUAGGCUUUUCCAGUACUCUAUGAGGCCAACUUCACCUAAAUAGUGCAGUAUAUGAUAAAACAAUUAGACCUCAUGGACAUGGCCUAUUCCUGUACCUCCUUUUCUAUAAAGUAAGUUUUCUUGUGGAUGCUCUGCUAGGUGGGAUUCUGUGACUAGAGAGGCAUUCUGCUAGUGGUGCCAGCUAAAUCUUUGCAGACAGGAAAGGCCAGGUUCUAGUACCUGCUCAAUCAAAGCCUGGAAGCAGCCAGGGGAAGCGUGGCUUAUCACGAACUCCACAGUGGAUCCAAAGGUGUGGCAGCUGAAGGCUGUCAGUCAGCUGCGCUCUCCACAGCAGGUGCUUUUGAGGAGAGAUCUGAGUGGAACACUUGUAAGGCUGCCAGAGCAAGACAGUGACUCUCACAAAAUCAUAUGAGGAGCGGGAACAUUUGCAGCGCCCUGCUGGAGUAAGAAAUGUAGAAUAAAGAGUUAUUCAAACUUAGAAUAGUACUUGAAGGAGAACCUACCUAAAUUUGUGAAAGUCUAAAUUAUAAACAAUACUGUUUUUAAGGAAAUGCCUUAAUUUACUUCCAAACAAAUAUUCUAAUCUUGAGCAUACUAACAUACUGAUAUUGAAUCCUGGCUAAGGGUUUUACUAUAAGUUAAUAGAGGAAACAUUUUUAACUAGUAGUAUUUAUUUGCCUACAUGUAAUUUGCUCAAAUUUUAAGGACAGUUCAUUUACCAAGACCCCUACAUUCAUAAUUUUCCACAUGGAUAGUGUAAAGGCAACUUCAGCCCAGUAAAUGUCAAUAAAUUAAAAGACUUUUUUCUUUUGAUUAGUGCAGUCUAAAGUAAUUCUUUUUGCAAUAUAUUAAAAUGACUUGCUCAAGAUUCACUUUUCAAAGGCAUUGUGAGCUUACUUCCUACAGUCUGAGACUGUUACAUAUGAGUAACUAUGGAUUAGCUUGUAGGGCCAGCAAAAUAGGUGAACAGAAAAUCAGCCUCAAAAAACCUCCAUCCUUUGCCAAUUUACUUAAGGAAAACUCUCCAUAGCCAAACACUGUUGCUGGUAAUAAAAGCUGCAAGCUGUCACUGAAUUCUGCUUUCUUGGCAGCACAUCUCGAUAUACUGAUUGAUAAAGACUCAGAUAAUCAAAUCAAGAAUGCUACAGGUGGUUACUCCUCAGAAACCUUGAAAGGAUUUAAAUUCAUUCUGCUUAAAGUCAUGCCAUACAGGAAGCCAUCAGAAGUUGCCUGGUAAGGAUUUAAGAAAAAAGGAAUUAAGUGGUUAUUUGGGUCAUAAAUUUUAGGGCAUCAGGUUAUGAGUAUCUGAUGUAUUUAUAUUAAUAAUUACAGCUUACCAUGGGCCAGUCACUCUUUUAAAUGCCACAGCAAAUUUAUGAAGUAGGAUAUAUUAUUAUCCUCAUUUGCACAUGAGGAAACUGUGCACAAAGACGUUAAAUGGACUGCCAAAAAUCCUAAAGCUAGUAAGUGCCAGUACCAGUAUUCAAACCUAGGCAGUCUAGCUCUUAACCGCUAUACUAUAUCUUCCAUUGAAAUGGACAGCUGGUUAUUUUGACUAAAUAUCCUAAGAUAUGUUUGGAAGGGAAUUACCAUCACUGACCUCUUAAAUCUCCUUUUUCUGUACUUCCAAGCUGAUCAACUCUUUUUUUGUGAAAGACUCAAAUUGUUGUGUUGUAUUACAUGAAUCGAUAUAUGGGAUAAUUGCUAAACAUUAUAGACCUGAGAGUCAUUCUAUCUCUUUUAGAAAUCUUUUUCUUUAUUCCAUAAUGGAUAAUGACAAAUUCAAAAGCUUUAGGAAGUAGGCAGAUAACAUAAGUGAGGGAGAUGGCUUGGUAUAAGACAAUUUGAAAUGGCGAGAACUGUGGCAAACCACUACUCACUCGUCACUUGGCUCCAGCUGCUCUGUGCAAAUGUGGAUCCAAUGUUAUCAGAUAUUUUAAGGCCAGGAAUGGUGGCUUAUGCCUAUAAUCCCAGCACUUUGGGAGGCCAAGGUGGGAGGAUUGCUUGAGCCUAGGAGUUUGAGACCUGCCUGGGCAACACAGUGAGACCCUGUCUCUACCAAAAAAAAAAAAACAUUAGCGACAUGUGGUGGCAUGUGCCUGUAGUUCCAGCUACUUGGGAGGGUGAAGUGGGAAGAUUGCUUGAGUUCAGGAGGUCAAGGCUGCAGUGAGCUAUGGUUGUGCCACAGCACUCCAGCCUGGGUGACAAAGCAAGACUCUGUCUCAAAAAAAAAAAAAAAAAAGAUAUUUGAAAUUUUACCUUAAGGGUAAGUUAUUACCUCUGCAAAUAGCUCAUUUCUUCAUCGUCUGUUUUACUCUAUUCAGUUUCAGAGAGAGACCACAGUCUUGACUUUAUUUUCAAGUUCUGUGAAUCCAUUAUUUUUAGAGCUUUUACCUCUUUACAGUCUCCAUGUAUAUAUUCAAUAAUGUAAAAUAUGUUAACAGUUCAUUGUUUGGACUGUGUCCUUUUUACAGACAAUUGACUAUAUAAAAGGCUGAAGGGCUUUUCCAGUAUAUCCCUAGUACUACAAAGUACGUUUUGGAGUCAGACAAAUCUGAGUUUGAAUUCUGUUUCUGAGACAUUAACUUGUAAUUUCAGCAAGAUGUUUUUUCUUCAUCUGUACAAUAGGGUUACUUAUACCUCCUAAUUAGAUGAGGAUUAAAUAUAUAUAAAUACACUGAUCAUAGCAGCUGUCAUAUGCAAAUUCUGAAGCAAACAAAAAAUUAAAAAACAAUGAGUUAUCAUUAAUAAGUCAUAAAGGAAAUAAAGGAAAGAUUAUAUGGAAUCGUAUAAAAAUACUCAAAAAGGGCCAGGCAUGGUGGCUCAUGCCUGUAAUCCCAGUACUUUGGGAGGCCAAAGUGGGUGGAUCACCUGAAGUCAUGGGUUCAAGAUCAGCCUGGCCAACAUGGGUAAACCCCGUCUCUACUGAAAAUACAAAAAUUAGCCAGGCAUGGUGGCAUGUGCCUGUAAACCCAGCUACUCAGGAGGCUGAGGCAGAAAGAACUGCUUGAACCCAGGUUGCAGUGAGCCAAGAUCGUGCCACUGAACUCCAGCCUGGGUGACAGAGCAAGACCCUGUCUCAGAAAUAAAUAAAUGAAAAUGAAAAUACUCAAAAAGGACAUUUAUAUGUAACUAUAUCAAAAUCAAAAAGGCGAUUUAUAUGGAAUCAUAUAAAAAUAGCCUAAAAGAAGUCAGAAAAAAAGAGGAAGAAAAACCGAGACAAAAAACAAAUACCAAGAUGAUAGAUUUAAACCCAACAUCAAUAAUCACAUUAAAUGUAAAUAUCUUAACACUUAAAAUUCAUAUUGAAACACUGAACAAGAAAGGAAGUUCCAACCAUACCCUGUCUAUAAGAAACUCACUUUAAAUAUCAAGACACAGGCAGAUUAAAAGUAAAAGGAUAGAAAAAAAGAUAAAUACUAUGCAAAUACUACUCAAAAGAAAGCUAGAGUGGCUAUAUGCAUAUCAGACAAUGUAGAUUUCAGAGCAAGGAAUAAAAUUAGUCUUUUCCCGCCUUAGAACUUCAGUCCCCCAGGUCUCUUCCUGUGAGGCAGCACAUUACCCAUUUUUCUGUAUCUUUCCAGGAUGAGUUUAUGAAUAUAUAAGCAUAUAUCACUUUUAUUUUCUACUGAGGGGAGCAUACUAUAUUCACUGUUCUGUACUUUGUUUUUCCACAUAUAUCUAGGACAUUAUUCUGUAGUACCACUCCGUAUAGAUUUAUCUCAUUCAGUUUAACUAUUGUAUAGUGAAGAAUAUAGAUUUUUUGAAGUCUUUAUUAAACAUAUUAGGGUCUCUAAAUUCUAGCUAACAUGGUAAAGCACCUCCAAAAUAUGACUGUAAUAUAACUUAAAGAACACUGGACACAUGCCUGUCCAGUGCAUUCAAAACUGAGGUCAAUAUCUCAUCACGCCACCUUCCUGCCCUUGUCACCCCAAUUCAUUCUUCCACCAAUUUCUUGUUUUUUAAGGACAUCACCCUCCACCAAUCUGGUCUCUAAAGUAAUUGUUAACUUUCCUUCGUUCACUUUCUUCCCCCAAUUAGUAGCCAGAGUCCUAUACAUUCUACUGUUAAGGUGUCUCAGUAGUUUGGAGAUGGAUGGUGAAGAUCUUUUUGAAUUUCAUUGUCACUUAGUGUAUUGAAUAUAAGACUUUCUGCAUCCAAUUCCAGUUUCCAUUGCCAGAUAUCUUUUCUAUAGUAUUGCAUCGUAGAAUAACUUUAGAGUAUUUAAAAAUGAUAAAUUGAUAUUUUUAGUAUUCCUACCUGAAAAGUUUUUUUCUAGAGUCUUUUUAAAUAAUUUAACUCACUGUUCAUCUGAUUUAAGAAGAUGUCUGAGGUCUGGUGGGAUAUAUAGUGUUGUGUAAUUGUAAGUUGGAUUUACAGAUCAUCUUUUUUUUGAAAAGCUACCAGUGCUUUAACAAGUUUUGUUUUGUUUUUCCUAAUAUUCCUGUGAAGUAGAUUGAAGAAAAUAUUUUCUUUUCAAUUUACAAAUGAAAGAACAGAAACACAGAUAUAUCAGUUAAUUAGUGCUUGGCUACACAGGAUGUUAGUGGCAGCACUGGGACUAGAACCCAGGUUUCCUGACAUUCAAGCUGGAUUAUAAAUUUCAGGAUCAUAAAACUGUCUACCCUGCAAUUUUUAAAAAGAAAUGGCAUAUGCUCUCACAUUCUGAAUUUCUAGCACUGUAAUAAUAAUCCAUUAAAAAAGAAAAAAAAAGCCUUCCUUUGAGAAUCUCGUUGGAAAAGAACAUUUUGCAAGAAAAGUAGGGAAUACAUACAUACAUAUUCAACCACUGAUUUCUCUUCAUCAAGAACUUCUCUGUAAAAUGAGCUUAAAAUAUGAUGACAUCAGGCCCAAUGUUACACCUAUUUUUAUUCCUCAAAUAUUGUCCAAACAUAUAAAUGUUCUGGACUCUAAAUCAAUCAUUUGAAACUGGUCGGCUACAGCUUUGAAAAUAUUGGAAGCAUCAUGAACAUCAUGCCCAUCUGUCAUUUUUUUUCAUCAUAGAACAUAUAUAGCCUGCAAUCAUUCAUAGCAAUAUCUCAUGGCUCUGGUAAAAGCUCAUGAAUAGCCUUCUCUAUUCAUUCUCUCUUUAGCCUUCUCUACUCAGCUGCUAUUUCUGAGUAAUUAGAUGUAUUCAAAAGUCCAACAAACUAAAUUCUAAGUGGCAACUCAAUGGCAACAGGAAUAGUUGAAUAAAUUACUUUAUUUAAGUGGAAAACCCAUUUUCCUCUGAAGUAGAGCAAUUUGCAAGAAGAACUUAAAAAACCAGCCUAUAAAAAGAGAAUUUAAACUUUGAAAAUUUUAUUGCAAUUAUAGUAAUAUGUUAGAAUUUGAUUAAACAUUUUAAUUACAAUCACUUUGAGCUUUCAUUUCAUCAGUAAAAUUUCUAUUCAUUGGCUUUGCCUUUUUGGUGGAACCAGAUAGAUUAAAAUUUUAUUGUGUUUAGCAGUUAUACAAAAGUAAACCUUUUUUGUUGCAAACCACUGAGACUUUAGAGGUCGCUGAGUUAUCUCAGGGACUAAAGAGUCUUGCCAGUUUGUAUGGGCAGCAACCUAGCAAGCAUGUGUAGAAGUGGCUUCUAAGGGUGUUAGGAGAGAAUUAACUGUGAAAUUGAAUUAGGCAAACUGUAAAGGAGAAUUAACUGUAAAAUUGAAUUAGGCAAAAUUUACCUUAUCCUCACAGAUAAAAUACAUCGCACAUUUUUUCUUUUUAAUGUUUUAGUUCACAGACUUCUUGAUGCAAAGACACAGAGGACCCUAUUUGCCAAAACAUAAAUAAACACAUACUUGCCUCUCUACUUUCAGAUGUAUGAUCAUUAAUAUCUCACACAACAAACUUUCUUCAGUUAUCUCAGGCUGGGUAAGAUACCCUUUUAUCUGGUGCCAUAGCACGUUACACUUUGUGGUUAUAAUUUAUUAAAUGUCUGUAUUCUUGAGUAUAUUGUCAGUUUCAUGAAAGCAAAGAAUGUCCAGUUCUAUUGUACCAGUCAGUCUAGUGGCAGGAGACAGAUUUGAAAGAUAUUGAAUGAAGGGACUUUUCAUAGUGCUGUGGGAAACUAAGGAAUUAUCAGGAAUGUUGAAAUUUCCACAAACUAGCAACAUAGGAAAGCAAUAGCAUCAAUAGGUCUGAAUAAGCAGGGAGAGAAAAUGGUAUCAUUAGAUCUUUUCAGAGGCUGGGGUAAUAGAAAAUGGGGUCAGUCAAUAGGAGCUCUAGUAAUAGGGGGAAUACAGCCACCACCACAAUAGUGCACCAAGAAAGGGAAAUCACGAGUGAAGAAGUAGACUCAUCUCUUCUUCAUCCACACUGCCAUCUCCUGCCAGUGCGUCCCGCUGGCUGAAUCCCACACAAAGUUAGACGGUAAGGGAGCUUUUUAAUGCAGUUUACAGAGAUCAGCCCUUGGGGCAGAGAACAAGGCAGAGGAUGAAGGAUGGGUCUUGGGAGGGCAAACAGAAUAACCUACACACCUCCUUAUUACUAUAUGGCCAGUUCUUGUUUGUUUACCUGGUACAUAGAAAAUGUUUAAAGAUAUUUGUUGGGUAUAAGAAUGAAUAGCAUAGACAUUAAAUGUAAUUAAUGUAAGCAAGAUUAGGCUGCAUUUCUUAUUCUUUUAGGAAAUUAUUUUACUUCAACAACUUGUCUUGUUGCUGAAUAUGAUUGUGAGAGUCUUUUAGCUAUUUAUAUUAAAUGUUUCAGAAACCACAUUUUGAAUUCCUGUGAAGAACACUAAGAAGUAUAGUAAUUGGGGAUGCAAUUGUGAGAGAGAUCAUAUUGGUAUGAAAGAAAAAAUGAGGUGGCUCAUUUGAACAUGUUUGUUGGGUAGAUAAGUGAAGAAGAUGAGUCACAAAUUGUAAUUCAUGACAUGCAGUUACAACACGAUGACUCAGCUUAUCACUGGCAUAGGUAUUGGGUGGAGUGUCAGCUGGGGCAAAACAGUAGGAGAUCAUGUGGCUAUGGUAUUGAUUACGAUGGCGAUGAUGAUGACAAAGAUUGUGAGGUGGGCUGACCAUCUCUGUGUUGUAAAACUUAUUUAAAAAAAGAUAAGCUUGGUACUCUUAAAACAAAGCAUGGAGAGACUAUCAGAAAGUUUUAAUGAAUAUUUUAAGCAAGACUUCUUAACGUAGGGUCCACAAUUAGGAUACAGAUUGGCUGGCCAUGGUGUCUCACACCUGUUAUCCCAGCAUCUGGGGAGGCCGAGAUGGGAUGACGGCUUGAGCCCAUGAGUUUGAGACCAGCCUAGGCAACAUAGCAAGACUCCCAUCUCUACAAAAACAUAAAAAUAUAAAAAAAUAGCCAGGUAUGGUGGCAUCUGUGGUCCCAGCUACUCGAGAUGCUGACGUGGGAGGAUUGCUUGAGCCCAGGAGGUUGAGGCAGCAGUGAGCCGUGAUUAUACCACUGUACUCCAGGUUGGGUGACGGGAAAAUCUGUCUCAAAAACAAAUAAAUAAAUAAAAAUAAAAAAAUAGUAUACGUGCUAAGGUAGGAGCACUUAUGUUUUGUCUGAACAAGAAUGGAUAAAAGACUUAAGUGAUCUCUAAGGAAAAGUGGUAGUUUUAGAGAAGUAAUAUUUUUUCUUCUAAAGAGAAGGAAAAAAUAGUCUUGCUUAAAUCAAGAUACCGAGUCUAUAGGAGUUUAAGAGUUUUUAGAGGAUUACCAAGUUUAUGCAUACCAAACUGGCUUAAUAUUAAUCAUAACCAGAGGUGUGGUUAUUUUUAUAUUAUUCCUAAAAAUUAAGAUAAUCUCAACCAAAUGUGUCAUGAAAAACUUUUACCAGUGAUUUAAAAAUCUAUGUUAAUCAUUAAGAGCAAAUAAACUGAUGUUUGAAAGUAUUUAAGAGUUUCAGGCAUAAAAUACUUCACAACAAACUAUGCUGUUAUUUUUAAAAUAAUGUACAGUAAGUAACGGGCUCUGACCCACUGAAGAAAGACAACUAAAAGCAUUUACUAAGUUAGAUGAUUCUAUCCUGCAAGAUGUAAUAUCGUGGAAAUCUGGCAUUUUCACAAUUUACUUUGUCGGGGGAAAGUACCAUAUUCUCUGAGAUGCUGGCUUGGGUCCCUCUGCCAUCAUAGUAAAAAAUACCCUUAGUGUUCUGGGUUAUAAUUUCCCUGUCAAUAUAAUGCAAAUCCUAAAGACCAUCUGUUUUCAUUCUGCAAAGUGUGUUAUAGCAGUCUUGCAAAUAAUUUUCAAAAAUUGAAUUGCUCAGUAUUUUCCCUACCUGCCCUCACCUCAGGAUGUAUAUAUUUGGACAGUAAAUUUAUAGUUGUUAUUAUUCCUGAUGCCCACAUGGUUCCUUGCAGUGACAAGUGAUUACGGAAAUAUUUGUAAGGCUUGUGUAGAGACUAUAAGGAAGAACAAAAUGUUUACAUGGAAUCCAGUCUGUUCAAAAGCAUUUUAUUAAUGAGGAAUUUAUUUUUAAUGUAUUUUUAUAUAGGCCAAUUACUUGUCUAAUUUAUGUUUAAAAAUUCUCUAGAAAUACCUUUUCUUGUUUUAAUUGGCAGUUUUAUUGGGAUUGCAUUGACAACAGCCCUCAUUAAUAUAACAUUCAUUGCUCUGAAAGAAACCUAAGAUGAUAUGCUGCAGUGCAUAAAAAUAGCUCAAACAACUCUGCACCUUCUUCCCAACAUUCACAAUCAGUAAAAUCAAAAAUUUGAGAGAGAAAUUAAUAAGUUGACCAGCCAAUAACAUUCAAAAAGAAACUCUACUACUAAAAACCUUGACCUCUUAAUUAGGUCCUCUCUUCCAUUUUAAACAUAAACAUGCACAGGCUUAUGUACAUCUUCAUAUCAAUGUAUUUAAAGGACAAACAUGCUUUCGCAGACUUAAACUACCUUACAGAUCCUCAAAGAGGCAAAAGAUCUAGGAAACUGUUCAGUUAAUAGAGAACCAAUAAUUAUUUUAAUUAAAAAUAUUUGUAAUCGAUAUCCCAGUGAUUACUAAAAUAUGUGAAAGAAUGUGAAACAAGCAAAAGAGAAAAAAUCACAAAUCCAUUUAUUUCUCGAAAAUCAAAACAUUAUAUUGGGAAAUCUGUUACUUACUCACCUGCCAAGUUCUAAGAUUAGAAAUCUUUGUUUUCACUGCAACAGUUGAUGCUACUGAAAACUGCUAUGUCACUUGAGGAACCUGCUUCCUGUUCUGUUUCAGAUGUUUCUUCUUCAUUAACUUUUUAAUUAAAAAGCUUUACAGAUCACCCUAAACUUAGAAAAUAAGAAUAAUGCUCUCAGUUUUUUUCUCUCUUUUGUGUGUGUUUAUAUAAUCUGUAAUUCUCCAGCUCUAUUAAAAUAAGUGCCUUCCUGCAAGCUGAAAUAAGCCUAAAGUAUAAUGUGUCUUGGUUCUCUAAUUAUCUCAUGGAUUUCUACCAUUGUAUUAAUUCAUCUCUAAACUUCAUGGAUCUGUUGACUUUACUGGCUCUCAAUAUCAUCUGCUUUCAGUGUUGUUCAUAGUUAAAAAAAAUUAAAUCAACCUUUUCCUAUAGGUUUCAUUUGAACAUGACUUGACCAAUCACCACAGCCAACUAGUUACCAUUUUAUUAAGGUGUUAUUUCUUGGCUAUCUCCUGUAUGCAUAACAUUACCAUGAUAUAUUUAUGUCUUUGAGACUGAGAGAAAUGUAAUAAACCACUAACAGUAUCAUGGGUCGAAAGGCCAGAGUCUGCUGAUAACCCUUCUUUUGUAAAGCAUAUGAAACUCUCCCUAGUAGGGUCCUUCCAUUUAGUUAAGUUCAAGGGCCCAGAACAAUUCUAUAACUUGAUAUAACCUGAUAAUGUUAGAAGGAAAUAAUUCAGUGAUACAACAAAUUGUGCAUGCUUGAGGGAAUUUGAAAUCUAUCCAUAAACAAUAUAAAACCCAUAAUCUCUGCCAAUGGAUUUGGGACCAAACUUAACUUUUUGUUGCAUCUUCAAAUUCUACAACUUUCCUAUGAUUUAAAAUGUCUUCUUCAGAACUCCGGAAUAAUUUUUUUUAAUAAAAGGAUCUUCUCUUUCCCCAUACACCAUCAUAUAACAGAUUUAGAGAAAGCUCCAAAGAUUAAGGAAUGUGUGUAAAAGAUCUUAAACAACAGAGCUGUUUUUGUUCACUCUCCUGUCUCUGGGACAAAGAAAAAUGAGGACAUAGAUGACAUAUACGGAUAAAGGAAACAGGUUUCCAUUGGUAAGCCUUUAUGGGACCAUUGAAAACAAGAGUAUGAAAAGAAGUUUUAAAAGUUAUGAGGAGCACAUUCAGAGAAGACCAAAUGAAAGCAAGCAAUUAUUGGGUAACAGCAGAAACGGAGCAUAUGCCAAGGCCUGCUAUCUCUCUCAUGCCUCUUUUGUAAGAGAAAUUGCUUUCUAUUACUAUGUAACUCUAUCCUGAACUUUGCAGCCUUUGGAGGAAAGAAAGGUGCUCAGGAAGUAAAAUUAGGACUAUCAUUACUGGUAGAGGAAUGAGACACUAGUGGGUUUAUUGUUUAGAAACCAUCCCAAGUAAGGAUACCAAAGCAAGGAAAGUAAAUUUUGUCUGAAAAUAACUUUGAUACAAAGAACAUGUUGCUGCUGUAAGUCCAUAAACUACAUACUGUACUGAAAUAAUCUCAUGGACAAUAUGAAAUGACAUUUAAAAAUUUUUUUUUAUUCAAGAAGAAGAAAUAAGUUUGGUAAUUUAUGCAAAUGUUUAAUCUGGCUAAUUUAGAGAAGUAGUUGUGACCUUGGAUAAAUUAGUAAUCUCACUUUGUGUGCCUCAGUUUCCCCAUCCAUAAAAUGGGAAUAACAAUGAACCUAUCUCAUAAUUUGUUUUGUCGCUAUUCACCUGUACAAUGUAUGUGAAACAGUUAGAGUUGUGCCUGUCACAGAGUAAACAAUAAACAUUAUUACCAUGCCCUUAAAAAUAUCCAGACAUUUGCUUAAAAUAUCUGGAUAACUGCUUCAAUUGUCCAGUAUAUACUAAUACAGAUAGACUCUUUAUGAAUGCCUGGAACAAGCUGAAUAAUGUCUUUCAAAUAUAUCCAGGUAGGUCCUAACCCCUGGAACCUGUGAAUAUUACUUUAUAUGGCAGAAGGAACUUUGCAGAUGUGAUUAAAUUGAGGAUCUUGAAAUGGAGAGAUUAUCCUGAAUUAUCUAGGUGGGCCUUACAUGCAAUCACAAGUGUCCUUAUGAGAGAGCAGCAGAGGGAGAUUUGACUGCAGAACAGAAUAGAAGGCAAGGUGAUGACUGAAGCAAGAUGAUGCUUUGUUGCUGCCUUGGAAGAUGGAGGAAAGGGCCACAAGUCUCGAAUACAAGGAAUUCAGCUCUAGAAGCUGGAAAGGGCAAGGAAACAGACACAUUCUCCACUAGACCCUCCAAAGAGGAAGUCCUGCUGACACCUUGAAUUUUGCCCAGUUAGACUUGAGUUUGGACAUCUGCCCUCUAGAACUAUAAGACAAUGAAUUUCUGUUGUUUUAUGCCAGUAGAUUUGUGGUUAUUUGUUACAGCAACCAUAGAAAACUAAUACAAUGUUGUAUCUUUUCUUUAGUUACCAAAUUAAUUAGUUACUUGACUAAUUAUUUACCUAAUAGUUACCUAAUUAAAUAUAUAUACUAAGCAUAUGCUAUGGAAUGAAAUGGGUGUGGGAAGUUGUGAUUAUCUAGUUUACACAGUCAAAAUACUGAUCUAUUUUCUUGGAUUUUACAAAUUGAUUUGGUUUUCCCCAUCUCCACAAAUAUUUUAUUUCAACUGUUUAGACAGAGCUAUGGGCUUUUAGUGGAAGGCUCUUUAAUUUUCUGCCUAUGCUUCAUUUACCACCUCAAACAUGUACUCUUUAUUUAUCUGAGGUCUGAUAAUAUUACUCUUUAGAUGGCAAUCUUAAAUAUAGGCAUAGAAACCUGCCAAAUUUUAGAAAACAAGAAGUGAAUGAGUCAGGCAGAGAAACACCUGAUAUUGUGGAAAAAGUACUGGCUUUGGAGCCAGCUAAAUCCAGGUUUGAAUACUAGGCUACUAUGAACUUUGAGACCUUUAUCAUCUUUGAGUUGUAAUUUCCUCCUGGGUAAAAUAGGAAUUUAUAAAAAGUCCCAUAUGUCAUAAAACUCAAUCCUCGUUUAUAACCAGGUUACAAUGCUCCAAACACACAUUCCUUUUAGUAGUAGGAAUUCUAGUCUUUUUACCAGACAUUUCCCUUAUAGUAAGAAUGGAUUCUUCAGGUGAGUGGGUAGAGAUUGGAAGAUGUCCUUCCUUCUAUGUUGCAGUACCCAGGAUAUGUCCUAUAGCAGGUAGCUGGAACCCAAAGCAGCAUUACAGAGAUUUUACAUUUCAGCUCUUUUGAUUCUUCCACCUUUGGUUAUUUUUCCCUGGGCAUAAUCCCCAGUACUGAAUUGAAUGAAUCCAGAAGGAUGGUAAUCCAGAAUUUAGAUAAAUUAACAGUUGACAAAGCCAUCAAGUGUUAGUUGAGAAGGAGAUAUCAGCUCUAUCAGGAGAGCUUCUCAAUCUUUUGCAGAUGAUAUUAUGAAAGAACUGUGACCUCAGUGUCACCCACUAAAACACAGUACUUGGCCCCAGUUUGAUAUCUACUCUCAGACUCUUCUUAGCGUAGAAUAUGAUUCACCAGAUUUGUAGAUGUUUUCCUUAAGACCUACUAUAUUGCAAAUUCUUCAGAAUUUGUGAUUCUCAUGGAUCUGGAGGCGACAGGCCUUUAAGCUGUCUUAGCAACAUUUGCUUACCAGAACAGAAUGAUUUAUCUGGUUUUCUGACAAAAAUUUCAAGUCUCAUGACUUUUUUCACUGAGUCAGACAUCUUACUGUGGAACAGCCAGUUCAUUCAUUAAUAAUAUCUCAUUGUCCAUUUAAAUCUACUAGUUAAAACAUAUAGCAUUAGAUUUUAUUUCCAUCAGGGAACAAUCUCUAUUGCCUACUAACUGGUCAAAUAGAAACAGUCACCUGAACUUUAAGUGGUUCUUAACUUUUGGGAUGACACACUUCUCAUUACAAUGAAUAUAUGCAAAGCCCACAAAAUGUGACAUACAAUAAAUACCAAAAGGUCUAUGGACUCUAUAUUAAGAACUCCUGAGAUACAAAGAACUUUAAAUAUGGAGCAAGAUUUUCAGACUGUAUCUGUGUGACAAUACAGAUAAGGGUUCAUACUGGAUGUUUGUUUUACCAUGAGAAUGAGUUACAUACAGUCAGUUGGAUUGUGUAUCUUCAAUCCACUUGGGUAGUAGAUUUGGCCAAAAUAAAUACUGUCUUUGAUUUGGUGUCACAAAUAGUUUUUUUUUAAAUCCGUAUUUAUAUUGCAUAAUAUAUUAAUUUUCUAGAGCUGUCAUAACAAAAUACCACAGGCUGGGAGGCUUAAACAACAGAAAUUCUAUUCCAGUUCCAGAGGCUAGAAAUUCAAGAUCAAGGUGCUAGUAGGGUUGAUUUCCUCUAAGUCCUUUCUCCUUGGCUUGCAGACGGCUACCCUCUUGCUGUCUCUCAAUGUGGUCAUCUCUCUGUGCUUCACAAUCCCAGGGUCUCUUUGUGUAUCCACAUUUUCUCUUCUUAUAAAGAUGUCAGUCAGAUAGGAUUAGGGCCCAUUCAUAUGAAUUCAUUUUAGCUGAAUGACUUCUUUAAAGGCCUUAUCUCCAAAUAUAGUCACAUUCUGAGAUAUUAGAGAUUAGGGCUUAAAAAUGUGAAUUUUGGGGGGACACAAUUUAGCCAUAAAAUACAGUAUCUUAAUUUAAUUGCCUUUAUUUACAUCCCAAAGUAUUAUCUCUUCUGUCCACAUUUUCUUUUCUUUUUUUUUUUUUUUUUUUGUUCUGUCACCCAGGCUGGAUGGAGUACAGGGGUGUGAUCUCGGCUCACUGCAAGCUCCGCCUCCUGGGUUCACACCAUUCUCCUGCCUCAGCCUCCCAAGUAGCCGGGACCACAGGCGCCCGCCACCAUGCCUGGCUAAUUUUUUAUAUUUUUAGUAGAGACGGGGUUUCACCGUGUUAGCCAGAAUGGUCCCGAUCUCCUGACCUCAUGAUCCACCCGCCUCGGCCUCCCAAAGUGCUGGGAUUACAGGCGUGAGCCACCACAACCAGCCUUCUGUCCACAUUUUCAUAGUUGAGUUAUCUCAUGGGUUUAUUACCUGAUACAGAAAUAGCUCUUCAUUUUCUUAGGUUAACCUGAUGUCAGUAAAACUGGCAAUGGUCAGUUUGUGGCCUAAAGAAACAACCAUAGACAAAAGGCUUUAUAAAGUUAAAAUAGUGAUAACUGGAGUUUGAAGCGCUUUUCUUGAUUGUAAAUGUCAUCAUGGAACAAAUAAUGUAAAUCAUAUCUGAUUUUUGAAAAGAUUUAUAAUGUUUAUUUAAUUGCCAUGUUUGCUUUUUAUGCAGAAGAACUGGUAUACAGGUUGUUCUUGAGAAUGCAAAAACUAUACAAAUGAUAUUUUAGUCCUCACCAUGGCUACUGAUUUUGCUAUGUUACAAACAUAUCAAUAAUAUAUUUGCAAAUCUGCCAUCUGAGAAUAAAUUUGCAAGGCAAAAAGAAUUGGUACGUUUAUAUUGCAAUAGGCUAAAAGAUCAAACAUUAGACAUUUAUUUAGAAAUAGCACAUUUAUUGUUAACUUUCACUAUUAAACUAACCUCAAAUAAAACAUCUUAUAUUGGUGUGCAUGCAGAAAUGACAAAAGGUGAAUACAAAGAGGGGAAAAAUUAUACGACUGAAGCACAGACACAAAUCCACAGCAAAUAAAAUUAAUAUUGGAUAUUAAGAUGGUAAAUAUUUAGGCAAUAAAUCUUGGGAUAUCAAGGUUAUCAGAAGGUCAAUUUCCACAUUUGUGAAAAAGGUACCAAAAAGAAAUCAGCGUAGUUAGUUCUUCUCCCUUACCAAAAUUAUUUUUAUAACGAGGGAAUCAGUAUAUUGUGAGGAUUGAACUUUUUUUCAUUUUCCAGUGUUCAACCGGUUUUAAGCAAUAUUAAAGGCAUUUAAACUCAAAAUAUACAAGAUAUCAACAAAAUUUUAACCCUAUUGCACAGUGCGUCAGAUGAACAACAGAAAUAAUUGCUGUCAGUUUGUACUUUUUUGACCAAUAAUUCUCUGUAUUUCCUGCAAGAACCUUGAGUGAUGCAAAUGACCUUAUUUUUACAGCAUGCUUUUAUUAAAUAGUUUAUUAUUUUGGCAGACUAAUAAAGAUUUUGGUAUUUGCUUUUAUUUGCAAUAAUAUUACCACCACAUAAAAAAGGAUUUUAUGUUCUUUUUGAGGAACAAGGAGGAUAAAAGUGGUGAUGGAUAGCACAACUGAGGCAUCAGCAAUGAGCUGGAAAUGAGACACAUAAAUAUGAAAGCAGAGCUAAGAAAAUAGAACUGCACCCUUGGCCUUUCUUAAAAGAACAUGCACACUUCAUGGUUCAUUCACACCGUUACAGAAACUCCUUUUGUUUCCAAUGAAUCAGAUAAUGCACGUAAACUCUGAAAUACUAUUUUUACUCAUAGCCGACUGACUCCUAUUUAAUUAGAUUCAUUCUAGGAAAAUACCUUCAAGCUUUCUGAAGAUGUUUUAAUUUGAGGAAAAAAAAAUAACAAAUUGACUGAAAAGUUGGUGGACAUAAGGGCUGAAGGGGACUCAAAACAGAUUUACUAUUUUCACCAUUACUUAGCACAGAACACAGAAAGGAAAUCAUUCCACAGAGUAGCAUCUUUAGGGUCAAAUGUGUAAUUGUGGAGUAUUUAAGGAUACUCAAAGUAGGUGGAUAGGCAAUUGAAUGUUUUUAAGGACAAAUAAUAUUCAAUAUGUAGGUACAUAUAUAUAAACAUUAUAUGGAGACUUUGGGAAUUAUAGCAUUAUAUUUUGCCAGUAAUGGCAUGUGUUUAUUCAAAAAUUAUGAUCAUUUACAUGUUACAUAUUUUCGGAUCUAAUGGCAGUAUGUAAAUUUUACAUAUAGAAUAUUAUGCUUAUUUUUAGCAGAGUAUGUUUAGCAUUAAUUUUAUCUGCUGUUAAUAACUUGUUUCUUCAUCGUAGCAUUUAAUUGUUACCACAAAUAAAAGCAGAUUGUGAUGAAAGAACCAAAGGGAAGGUAAGUUUCCUAUUCAGGGAUAGAACCUCGAUUGGCACACAGUAGCUCUUAGCUUAGUAAUAUUCAGACGUGCAGCUAUUUUUCUUUUCACAAGAAAGUGCAGCCGAUAGAUGAAAGUAGAAAGUAAUAUAUUGUGAGCCGAGAAAUCCACUGCUUCAUUAUCGACAUAAUUCGGAUCUUACAGAGGGAGAGAACUCUACCAUUUGGACUCUUGUCGCAAAGGCUUACAAUAGACAUGAUUCUGACAAGAGGUUGGUGGUAGCAGAACAGACUUAACAAUUAAUGGUAUGCCAAGGCUGAGUUCAGAGAAUUGCUUUACCCAAUGCCAAUCAUUCAUUCCUGGCAGUAGCACUUCACAUCUUUCCUGGGAUGCCAUCCAACCACAGUGGCAUCUAAAAUAUAUCAAGCAGUGUUGUUACAGUUGGAGGUGAAAUUGAAAUUUGCGCCAAACAGAAGUGACAAAUUCACAUGGCUGAGUGUUGCCUAGCAAUCAGGUCCAAGGGGGACGUGGCAAUUCUGCCUUUACCCAUGAGUAUGUUGCAAGGGGGGAGAGAAACAUUUACAUUAGAGCUUAGGUGGUCCCCCAAAUAGAACCAGGUAUAUGAGAUUUCAUUUUACUACCAGGGUGUAAGAAGAUAAGCUAUUAGAGUGGUACAGGGAAAGGAGAAAGUAGCUGAAGUUGGUAGGGUAAGCUUUCAAGGCUGAGGUUCUUAGCAAUUAACCUGGGGGAGGGGGAGAGCAGCAAGAUGCCAAGAUGCCAUGAUGCCAGACUUGCUGCAGAAAUUGAUGGCAAUUGGCCAUCCUGCUGCCUUUUGACUGCAGGCCUCUUGAUACACCUCUGUUCAGCUGGCACUUGGCAGCUGGUUGGCCCCAGGGUAUAGCAAGCAAAUGGUGGCUUUCUCUUCUCAGAAAUCCACCUGAGAGCAAAGCUCCCGAUGGGCAGUCAAACUCAAGAGAUUAGUGCAAGGAAUGGAAUGUUCAAGCUGAAAUUCUUAUCUUAUGCCUUUAUUUGUUGUUUCUUUUUUGGGUUCCGUAUUCCAUCUGUGUUAUAUUGGUCUUUUCUUUAUCUUGGGGAUACCACUCAAACUCCUCCUACCCCAUCCUCUAAGGUGUGAAGUGACUAUAAAAUCAAUAAUUAACCUAUGAGAAAGUGAAUGGAUAUAUCAAAAUACCAGUCGUGGGGAAGGAGGCACAGUGUUUGCCUUAUAAAAUUUCUCAGGUCUCAACCUGACAAAUUUUGUACAAAUAAUUUUGUUUCUGGGUUUUUUUCACCACUCCUUAUUUGGAAGCAUAGACCCAGAAAUAUCUACGGUAGAUUUCCCUGCUUGAUGGAGGAACUUAUGGAAGUAUUACAGCCACCAUAGUUCCUUUCCCCCUUUACCCACUUUUGUUGUUGUUAUUGUUUGAACUGUUGGGGUCUCAUUAACCUCUUGAGUCUAGUCUUCGCAACCCUAUAUGAAAGAAGAACUCAAUCUAGGCUGAGAUGGCAGACACUUUAUCAUUCCCUGCUUUGGUGCUCCUAAUUCCAGAGACUCAUACUUAAUGAAUUAAGCCUGAGUGAGUGCCCAUCCACAAUAUUACAAAAUUUCAAUACCAUGUCUAUGGUGUUUGAAUUUGUACGUAAUUUGUUUUCUUCAAGGAGACUCUAAGACCUAAUAGCAGGAACUAUUUCAUCUAAGUAGGAUCAGGCAAGAUAAAGUUAUGGAAAUGCAAAUGGUGCUACACAAUUAUAAGACAUUUUUGUUAUUCCUAUUAUUGUAGUGUGCUGUUCAUUGUGCAAUAGAUGCUCCAAAAAUGCUGGUGAAUAAGUGGAUGGACUGAAUUAAUAGAUGAAUUGGUAAAGACUGAUGAAUUUAUAAAACCACAUAUAAACAAGAAACUGUAUAGAUCAUAAAGUUGACUAAUUAUAGCAACUAAAAUAUAUUCACAACUCAUAUGUUGUCCAAUUUUUUAUUAUUGUGGUAAAAAUAAGAUCUAUUCUCUAAACAGAUUAUAAGUGUAGAGUACAGAAUUGUUACUACAAGUGCAAUGUUGUGAAACAGAUCUCUAGAACUUUUUUAUCUUGUAUGACUGACACUGUAUACCUGUUGAAUAGCAACUCCCCAUUUCCCCCUUCUUCCAGCCUCUGGCAAUCACCAUUCUACUUCCUGUUUUCAUGAGUUUAACUACUUUAGAUACCUCGUGUAAGCACAAUAAUGCGGUAGUUGUCCUUCUUUGAUUGGCUUAUUUCAAUUAAGCAUAAUGUCUUCAGGGUACAUUCAUGUUAUAGCAUAUGGCAGAAUUUCUUUUUAUGGCUGAAUAAUAUUUCAUUAUAUGUAUAUAUCACAUUUUUUCUAUCCAUUCAUUUCUUAAUGGACAUUUGGAUUAUUUCUAUUUCUAGGCUAUUGUGCAUAAUGUUGCAGUGAAUGUUAGAAUGCAAAUAUAUCUUCUAGAUAAUGAUUUAACUACUUUUGGAUAAAUACCCAGAAGUGGGAUUAUUGGGUCAUAUGUGAAUUCUAUUUUAAUUCUUUUUGAGGACGGUUUUUACUGUUUUUCAUAGCCAUUAACCCAUUUUACAUUCCCACUCUGAGUGCAUAAGGGUUCCAACUUGUCUACAUCCUUGUCAACACUUCUCAUUUUCUCUCCCUCUCUCUCUUUCUCUCUCUUUUUCUCUCUCUCUCUCUCUGUGUGUGUGUGUGUGUGUGUGUGUGUGUGUGUGUGUGUGUAUAAUAACCAUCCUAACAGGUGUAAGAUGAUACCUUAUUGAGGUUCUGAUUUGCAUUUUCUUAAUGAUUAGUGAUGCUGAGAAUCUUUUCAUAUACUUGUUGGUCAUUUGUGUAUCUUCUUUGAAGAAACGUCUUUUCAAAUCCUAAGCCCAUUUCAAAAAUCAGGUUAUUGUUAUUAUUUGCUGGUGUGUUGUAGGUGUUUCUCUUUUAUUUUGGAUGUUAACUCCUGAUCAGAUAUAUGGUUUGCAAAUAUUGUCUUCCAUUCUGUAGUUUCCCUUUUCAUUCUGUUUAUUGCUUUCUUGUUGUACAGAAAGUUUUUAGUUGGAUGUAGUCCCAACUUGUCCAUUUUUGCUUUUGUUCCCUGUGUUUUUGGUGUCAUAUCUGAGAAAUCAUUGCAAAGACCAAUGUUAUGUAGCUUUUAAAAAUGUCCUUCAUGUUUUUUUCUAAGAGUUUUAUAAUUGUAGGUAUUACAUUUAUGUCUUUCAUUCACUUUGAACUAAUUUUUGCGUAUGUAAGAGUUCAGUUUUAUUCUUUAGCCUGUAGACAUCUAGUUUUCCCAACUCUACUUAUUGAAGAGACUGUUCUUUUUCCACUGUGUAGUCUUGGUGCUCUUAUCAAAGGUUAUUUGCCUAUAUAUGUGUAGGUUUGUUUCUGGGCUCUUUCUUCUCUUCCAUUGGUUUAUGUGCCAAUCUUUAUUCUAGUAUCAUAUUGUUUUGGCUACUGUAAUUUUGUUAAAUGUUUUGAAAUUAGGAAGUGUAGACUUUCCACUUUGUUUUUCUUUCUCAAGAUUGUUUUUGCUCUUUGGGGUCCUUUGCGGUUCUAUGUGAACUUUAGGAUUGUUUUUUCUAUUUCUGUAAAAAAUGCCAUGGGGAUUUUAAUAGAGAUUGCAUUGAAUCUAUACAUUAUUUUGGGUAAUAUGGACAUUUUAACAAUAUUAAAUCUUCCAAUCCAUGAACAUGGAAUGUUUUUCCUUUUAUUUGCAUCUUCUUUAAUUUCUUUCAGUAAUGUUUUCUUGUUUUCUGUGUACAAGUUUACUCCUUGGUUAAGUGGAUUCCUAAGUAUUUUAUUCUCUUAAAUACUAUUGUAACUUGAUUGUUUUAAUUUCCUUUUUGGAUUACUCAUUGUUAGUGUAUAGAAACACAACUGAUUUUUGAAUGUUGAUUUUGUAUCCUGCAACUUUACUGGAUUUAUUUCUAACAGUAGUUUUUGUGUGGGAUAUUUAGGACUUUCUACAUGUAAGAGCAUGUCAUCUGUGAACAGAGACAUUUUACUUCUUUUCCAAUUUGGAUGCCUUCCUAAAUUUUUUACAUACAUAAUUUAUUUAAUUCUGACAACAAUAUGAAGUAGAUAUUAUGAUUCUCAAUUAAAAUGAGGAAAUUAUUACACAGAAAGUUUAAUCAAUUUUCCCAAAUUAUUAGUAAGUGGGAGGAACUGUUUUCUAAUUGGACUUUAGAAGUAAUCUUCAUUCAUGACAUUAAUUAAUUACCCGUAUUUAUGACAAUGCAAAAUUUGGAUCUCUUAUUUUUGAGUUCUGUAAGCAUGAAAAGCUAAAGAAAAAUGAAAUUGGUACUGUACAUUCUUAUGGUAGGCAAAAUAAUGGCCCUCCCAAAAUGACCAUAUUCUAAUCCUGGAACCCCCGAAUAUUAGGUUACAUGACUUUAGGUUACAAACUCAUUAAGGUUGCAAAUGGAAUUAAGAUUGCUAAUUAGGUGACCUUGAGCUGGGGAGAGCUUAUGCUGGAUUAUGCCAGUGGGUCCAGUGUAAUCAUAAGGAUCCUUAAAUGUCGAAAUUGGAUGCAGACGACUCAGUGUCAAAUAAAUACAAUAUGAGAAAGACUUGACUGGACGUUGCUGGUCUUGACAAUGGAAACAAACCAUGAGCCAAGGAAUGUAUAUAGUCUCUAGAUGCUGGAAAAGGCAAGAAAAUGGAUUAUUUCCUGGGUCCUCCAGAAAAUAAUACAGCCCUGAAAACACCUUAAUUUUUAGCGCAGUGAGAAUCAUUUCCAACUUCUGACCUCCAGAACAGUAGGAUAAUAAAUGCAUGUUGUUUGAAGCCAUUACCUGUGGUAAUUUGUUACAGCAGCAACAGGGAACUAAUAGCUUUCAAAUUCCAAGGUUACAGAAUGAAUUUUGAUUUCUUGUUAAUCCAACUAGAAUUUAGAAAAAUAAUUUUCGAAGAGUUGGAAGUUAAAAGUGUUGGCCUUAUUUAGAUUCACUAUUAAUUUCAUCUUUAUUUGAACUAUCACAAGGAAAAAUCUGUCUACAUAUCUUUCUAUAAUUCCUAAAGACAUCUUUUCCCUAAAGCAAGCAAUAUAUAUUUUUAUUCUAUUUUAAACAUACUAAGAUAUUUAAAAUUAUAAACAGUUACCAAAAAUUACCCAGAAAAGAGAGACACCAAGUCCUGUAGUACAUCCUUCAAACUUUUCUGCCCUGUUGCUUCACCUUCCUCACUCUGUCUUUGCUCUUGUCCAUCUAUCUCCACCUAUCCUUUGCUUAAUUCUCCUCAAACCUGAUACUUUUCUGGCUAAAGAUCCAUAUAUUUCCAUUCCUCUUUUUUUCCUCUUUAAUAAUUACAAUAAUAGAUGAAAUUUAUUAAGAACUCACUAUUGCCAAUAUUAUAAUACAUGCUUUAUAUACAUAAUAUCAUUUAAUCUUCAUAAAACUUUAGGAGGCAAGUACUAUUAUUAUUGCAGCUUUUCAGAUAAGAACAUUGAGGCAUUGAGAAGGUUAGAAACUUGCCCUAAGUCCCUUAGCUCAAAAGUGGAAGAGCUAGGAUUUAAAUCCAAAGACCAGUCCAAUUUAUGUUGAGUGAUUUUAAUUUAAUAAAGUGUUGCCUUCUUGUUUAGUGUAAACCUGGGAGAGACUGCUCUCAGGCAGCUCCCAGAUUCCCUGGCAGAUGAGAAAUGCCUACAUUAUGCCAUAAGAAAAUAUAAAAGUUCUUAAGUGGUCUGCCCUUGGGAGAACCCUAGGUGGUCAAGAAAAUAAACAGAAUAAAUUUGGGGUGGUUCAGUGAGAAAUCCAGUCAGGUAUUAUUGUGCACUCAAAAGGCAAGGCUAGUCAUAUCAGAAAUUAAACUCUGAGCAUACUAAGGAAGGAUCCAUGGCUUAUUUAUUUUCACAUUUUCAGCACUUAGCACCAAGAUCAGUGCCUUGUAGGUAUUUAAUCCGUGAUUCUCAGCCCAGGCUUGCUGGACUACCACGGCUGUGAUGAUAAUGUUGGGGAAUCCAUGAGUUUUACAGUCAACAUUCCUAAACUUUAAAGGAAAUUAUCCAUCACAAUGAUAAGGCUGCAUAGACUGUUUAAACAGGUCUCUUGACUGUUGGCUAUAAUUCUACCAGUUCAGCAAGAUUACAUACUAGUUCUUCAUAAUGAAUGGAGGUUUUAAUUAACAGAUGUGUAUGUGUAAUAAAACAGGAAGCUUAAUACUGCUUUAAAUGAGUUUGUUUGAUAAGCAAAAUAUUUCCAAAAUGGGUGCUAUGGAAUAUAAUGAACUAUAAAAGCUUUACUUAAUGGUAAAAAAAAGUUCAGAACUACAAUGCAUACUUAAACAUUCACUAAAAGUUGAGUGAGUUCAAGUCUGUGUCUCCAAAUAUCCCCACUUACAACCUAAUCCUGUCAACCUAUUAAUGGGUUAUAUAUAUGGUGUGUGUGUGUGUGUGUGUGUGUGUGUGUGUGUGUGUGUGUGUAUCAAUCUCAUAGACUACCACUUAGCCAUAAUAAAGAAUGAAAUCAUGUCUUUUUAAAUAAUGUGGAUGGAAUUGGAGACCAUUGUCCUAAGUGAAAUAGCAGAAACAGAAAGUCAAAUACUUAAUGUUCUCACUUAUAAGUGAGAGCUAAACAAUGGGUACUCAUGGACAUACAGAGUAGAAAAAUGGACACUGGAGACUACAAAAUGUAGGAGGGUAGAACUGCGGUGAGGACUGAAAAAUUACCUAUUGGGGCCAGGUGCGGUGGCUCAUGUCUGUAAUCCCAGCACUUUGAGAGGCCGAGGCGGGCGCAUCACCUGAGGUCAGGAGUUUGAGACCACCCUGGCCAACGUGGUGAAACCCCGUCUUUACUAAAAAUACAAAAAUUAGCCGGGCAUGGUGACGGGUGCCUGUAAUCCCAGCUAUUCAGGAGGCUGAGGCCGGAGAAUCACUUGAACCCAGGAGGUGGAGGUUGCAGUGAGCUGAGAUUGCGCCAUUGCACUCCAGCCUGGAUGACAGUGCAAAACUCUGUCUCCAAAAAAAUGAAAAGAAAAAUUACCUAUUGUAUACAAUGUUCACUGUUUCAACGAUGGUGCGCUAAAAGCCCAGGCUUCACCAGUAUGCAAUACAUGCACGUAAGAAUCUGGAGUGUACCUUCUACAUAUGUGGAAGUUAAUUUUUUUAAAAGAGCAAUUAGUAAAUGAUUUCUGAGUCUCCAAAAGACUGUGCCAUAAAAAACACAAUUUUUUAUCUUUGUCUUCAAGGGGAAAUGGGACUUAAAAAAGGCUGGCACUGGGGUGUUUUGCCUAAGCAUAUGAAAACAUAGUGACAUAAAAUAAAUUCCAGUUUCAUCCAACAAUGCAGUAGAUAACAUAAAAAAAAUUUAACCAUGUACAGGAAAUGAUGGAAAGUUUGCGGGAGGGAGCUAUCAUUAUGGCCUGGAAUCAAGCCAGUGUGCCAGUCUGGAGGGGCAUCCGUCUAACUCACCCUGGGUUCCUAGACAUGUACCACACUGGGUUACUCUUACUAAAAUACAGUUUUUCCACUCUCUCUUCUCCUAAUGAAUAAAUGAGGGCAGGGGAAGUUGAAGGGAUCCCUUUUUCUUCUCCUGUCGGCUCUAAGAUCCUCAACCUAGCUGGCAAAUUCUUUGUAAUAAUCUCCUACCAUUUUGUUUCCCAUCCUGUCCCAAACAUCACCUGUCUCUUUGAGUAGCCUCCUCGCUCUUUUGUAAAAAUAUCCCCCGCAGUUCGCCGCUGUGCCUUGCUUGGGAUGCCUCUGUCUCUUGUCUGACAGCUCCUGCCCAGGAGGUCUCUGCCUUCCCUAUAUGAACUUUGGCAGUGCAUUGAGUGUACCCCACAUUUUAGCACUUAUUUAUUCAACCAUUUAACAAAUAUUUGUGGAGAGCCUGGUCUGUGCCAAGCAUGGAUCUAUAUGCACUAAAUUAUAUCCUUUCUUAUAUUAUUUAUUAAUUGUUUUACGUGGCCUAUGUGGUAGAUAAAAGCGUUGGAUAUAGAGUCUGGAAACUGAGGUUAUAAUCUCAAUCCUGUUACUUUGUUAAUUGUAUAAUUUUGGGGAAAAUCCCUUUAGUAAGCCACAGCUUCCACAUAUUUCGAUGAGUUUUUGAGUGGACUGUACAAGAUAAUGUGUAUCUAUAUUUUCCCAAAAGAUGAAUAUGCUAAUGAAAUGUAAGAAUAUAAUUACUAUGUAACCCAUAUGCCCCUCAGGAGUAUUUGUGCCCCAAACUCUGUGCUCUCAUAUAUAGAUAUAGAUAUAGAUAUGAGAUAAUAAUAGAUUGAGGUACAAUAAACAUAUCAGGUACCAAAAAUUACUAAAAAGGAAUUCCAAACUUUAUGUCUAUUUAUGAAGAACACUAAAGAUAUGAAAUUUUUAACCCAUAGCCACACUUCACUAAAGGUCUUUUCUUUCUCCCUGAUGGUCUUACACCUCAAAGCUGAAUUGGAGCUCUCACCACCAACUCUCUCCAAAAAACUUUUCUGAAAAUCUCAGUUCUCCCUACUUUCUGUGCUUUGUGUCCAACCCACUUCUCUCCGCUGACCAAGCCUGUCUUUUUCUCCCUGUUUUCUCAAUUCUGUAUCACACGCUUGGGAACUGGGCUGGCAAAGACAGAGGUUUCCAUAGAAAAUGGAGAGGCAAAAAGGUGGAUAUAUCCCACCUGUUAAUAUUUAUCUGGCUAUCUUUAACAAUAUUUUUCUUUAUUUCAUGUGGAUAGGACCAUGUUUUACACUUUUUCUGUUUUCCCUGUAGCACUAAUCAGGGUGCUGGGUCUAUGGAAGCCACUCAAUAAAUGCUUGUUAGUUGAAUUAUAAAACAUAAAAAUUAAGUUGGAGAAAGUCCCAUUAAAUGGGCACUCUACCACUUCCUAGAAGUAUGAGCUUAAGUUAGUUACAUAUUGAAUUUUAUUUUCUUGAUCUGUAUAAUGGGCCUGCUAACUCUCACAGCAUAAUGUUGUAAUUAGCAUUAACUGAAAUAACACAUGAAUGUAUCUGAUACCUAUUAAACACCAAAUGUUGACUACAAACUUGAAAGGCUAUCUUAUGGCUAUAAACAGAUGGAGGCUGACACCUGUAGUUAAGGGAAGUUGUUUGGUAUUUAGAAAUUGGGUUCCAGUGGGCCUUGAUUUUCUUAUCUACAAAAUGAGAGCAUCUACCCAGUGGAUUUGGAAGGUCACUGAAAUUCUAAUGAUCUCUAUUUCUGAGAAGCAAGAUACUGGUGCAUCAUUCUAAUCAAAUAUUUUCUAGUCCUGAAAACUCUAAUACAAUUUUGCAAAGAAUAAUGGGAAACUCACCAGUAACUGAAAAAAGUCUCUCUGCUCAUUCGGAAUAUGCUUUUAAUGUGUAUCAGUUGGUGCUAACCAGUGAAGAUAUUUCCACUGGGCUGGCAAAAACAAGAAAGACAAAGUAUUGGGAAUUGUAUUAAGUCAAAUUUAUUCAAUUUAAUAAGAUACUGCAUUUUAUUCAGUGAUUCUUCCUACUACUUCAUUGUCAAAUUGUCUUUUCAUGAUACUAAAGUGAUAAAAUGUAGUGAUUAUGUAUUAAAAUUAUCAUGUGAGAAAAUGAAAAGAGGGAAUAUAAAAAGUUGGCAACUCUGUCAAUUUCCUAAUUUUUUACAUUGUUGAUUAAUAUUCAGGUUCAUAAAAUUUGAAAGUUUAGAAAUCACUGAUUUAUAGCAUAACAAUAUUGAGACUAAACUUUCUGAAGAGGAAUAUCUGAUUUUUUUGUUGAAAAAUACCAAGUCUUAGAGUUUAACUGGUUUUUCUCAGGAUCAAAGCCUUAAAAAUUUUUUUUAAAAAUCCUUUUUCUCCCUCUAAGGAGAAAAAAAGAUGUGAAACAAAAGAAGGGCAAGAGUCAGAUUUUUUUUCCCUGCUCCUGUGGGAUCCUGCUGACUAAAAUAUUUACAAGUGUGGAAAUGGCACAGAGGAAGCCCACCACUUAAUGCUGGAGAAGGAAGGUUGGAAUGGGCUUGCAGCAUUCUAAGCCGCAGUGAGCUGGCUUAGAAGCCUUCUCUGCCCUGACCUAGCUCCAGGCAUAUAGCUACCAGGCCUGUUUGGGAUAAAUGAUACAAAGAGGAUAAAACAUCAACAACAGUUUUAAUUUUAGAGCUGCUACUUGAAUUGCCAAGCCCUCAGCAGAAUAACAUAGCCAGAUUUGGAGGAAACAAAAUUUUAACAGAUAUAUUAGAAAAACUGAGGGUGAAUAACCCAAUAAAAUGUAAAAGUCCAUGCAUAGGGCAGAUUUUAAUUCCACAGUAAAGGCUUGGUUUUGAUAACCUUUUGACUAACUUUUGAAGACAUUUAUAUUGUCAAUUAAUAUACAAACUUUAUAAUGACUGGAGGCAUUUUGUGAUUUAAGAACUCAAUCAUGAUUAUUAUGUAUUACGUGUCUAUAUCAAAACAGCUCAUGUGCCCUAUAAAUACACCUACUAUGUACCCACAAAAAUUAAAAUAAAAAAAUUUUAAAAAAGAACUCAGUCAUGAAAUUGCAAAUUUAGAAAUCAUUUGUUAAGUGUUAAAAACUGCUAUGGUUGUUACCAUUUGUCUUAUUUAUCAACAAUAUUUUAUGUAUUCUUAUAAUUUGCUCUCUGGGAAAUCUAAUGUGAAAAAUAAUCUUUAUUCAUAUAUGUGAACCUUGAGUGUUAUGGUGAGUUAUCUUAGACCUAUUGUUCAGACAUAUCAACACAGAAAGUAAAGGGAAACAAAGAGGACCUAGGCACCGACUCUUCGACCUCAAGGUAUUAAUCUGCUAUCAGAACAAGGGUAUAUACUUAGAAAUUUGGUUUGCUGAAUCUAUAUCAGACCCCAUCGGUAGUCUAGAUACUUACUUCAUCUAGGCAUAGAUUCAUAUAUGAGGGAACAUGCAAAACCAACUCAUGUCAUCUAAGGACAGGGAUGGUUGCAAUACUAGCCUCAACAAUAGCAAUGAUAAUAUAAUAAAAUGCAUAUCCCCUAGAGAAACAUUCUCCAACACGAGGCAUUAUCUGAUCCUCAGUUAGGAUUUGAUAUUUUUCUGCUCAGGAAAAAUAUCCCACCCACCCUUUUACCUCUUCUUCUGAGUUGAGAAUUAUUAACUGCUUAUGUUGUGAUUCUAGUUAUUAAUAAUUCAAUUUAAUGAGUUUAUUUGUUAGAGAAGAUAGGAACAAGUCUCACCUUUUUCCCAUUUUUCUGCAUCAUUUGUGACUGGAUAAACUACAUCGAAGUGAUUAAGAGUUACAUUAGAACACCAUGGAUGUGGCCAGGUGCUGUGGCACACACCUGUAAUUCCAGCACUUUAAGAGGCCAUGACAGGCAGAUCACCUUAGGUCAGGAGUUCGAGACCAGCCUGGCUAACAUGGUGAAACCCCAUCUCUACUAAAAAUACAAAAAUUAGCCAGAUGUGGUGGUGGGCGCUUGUAAUCCUAGCUACUCGGGAGGCUGAGACAGGAGAAUCGCUUGAACCUGGGAGGAGGAGGUUGCAGUGAGCUGAGUUUGCAUCAUUGCACUGCAGCCUGGGUGACAAGAGUGAAACUCUGUAUCAAAAACAAAACAAAACAAAAAAACCAUGGCUGCAUCCACCAGUCUUCUUCAGGUUUAUCUGGAGAGUGUGUGUGUGUCUGUGUGUGUUUAUGUGUUUGGUAGUAUUAAAAGGAAAGAUAACAAGUAUAAUCAUGUAUAUUUUGACCAAACACUUGUCAUGAAGCAAAAGGUAGUAUUUUUCUCUUUUAAGCCAAUUAAAGACUAUACAUUUAAUGAAGUUGUUGUAAGUGUAAUUGAAUUAAAAAUGUUUUAACUGCUUUCUUUAACUAUUUUUAUAUUUUUAUUUUGAAAAGUAUUUUUAGACCUUCAUCUAUCCUCAUAUGCCUGUAAUUUUUAAAGAUAACUCAUCAGUAAAAGUGGAUCUCCAGGUGUGCAUGUGUGAAGGUGGGAAAAGUGGCACACACACCCCUAACAUCUCUCCUGCCUUUAGAGUUACUACAAAGUCCUUUAAAGGACACAAUAUUAUGUUUUAAUCAUAUUAUCAACAUAAUUAAAAAGACAUUUUUUCAAGGUUGUUUUGAUAUUAAAGCAUUACCGUCUAAAUGAUAUUUAUGACCUAAUGUUACCUCAAGAAUAGGACAGGCAUAGUUUUCAAGUGUGGCUUCCUGGUCAAGUCAUGCAGGGUAGAGUUUUUACUUCUAGACGUUCAGAGGAGGAGUUUUAGAGAAGGAACAUUUUAUUUCUAAAUUAAUUUCCUUUAGAAACAAUAUGUACUCUUCUGGUAAAGUAGAGGCAUAUAUAGACUACAUUAAUCUUCAGAAUAUAGACCAUCCUAAGAACAAACUAUAAAAUAUAUAUAUACACAUAUAUACACACACACACACAAACACAUAUAUACAUAUAUAUUUAGGUGUGCAUGUAUGUGUGUGUACAUGCAUGUUUAAUAGUCUAAUGAGAAAGAGCCCAUAGGUCUAUAUUCAAAUGUAAGUGCACAUAUUCAUAUUUGAUGCUCAAGUACAAUUCUGACACCAUCUAUGCUUUGUAUUGGAGUAGGACAAGCUAGUGUCACCAAACAAGAAAAUUAAUUCACUCAAUCCUUAGUAUGCUCAUGGAAACCAUACAAUUUAUUAUAAGCAUAUUGCCAAUACAAAGACAAACAAACAGCAUGUGUAUCCUAUUAGAUCUAAAUCAUAGCAGGGAGCCGAGCUGGUAGAAAAAUAUAGUGCCUCCAGCCUUAUGCAUUGUGAGUUGUAUUCAUAAAUGACUUACUGUAUACUUGGGUUCCACUCCAGUUUCUUACAAUUUACACAGGAUUAUUGUAUUAUAUGUUGUGCCCCUUCCCAAAUUGACUAUUUCCAUAAGAGGCCCAUCCAUUAUGGACCCAGGGGAACACUCAGGACCAGUCCAAGAAUGCUGUGUCCAUAGGGGAAAAAGCAAGUUAAAAUCAGUCUCUACCUAAAUUCACAAAGAAUGCUCGUCCCUAAACGUUAGACACUCCUAAAAUCCCACCAAGAAGAGUCAAAAAGUAUGUGACUGGCAGUUUGGAAUAGAUGAUUUAAGCUGUCAUGAAGCUGGGGAGCUUAGAUGGUUACAUCUUUUGCAAGCUUGUCGCUUCUUAGAAUACUUCCCACAGUGUCUAAUACACAAACAUGCCUUUUAUUGAGCAUCAGGAAGGGCUGUCUUCUAUCCAUCACUUGACUUUAUUCAGAUAAAUAAAAGAAUGCAAAGGGAAACAGUAAAACUGUAGAUGUCUAAAAACUUCAUUACUCAGAUAAGAUUUUUUUUUAAUUGGGUAUUGCAGCAUUCAUUCAUGGACCUCCUGCUUUUAAAUUUCAAUGCACCUUUAGUGAUAUUUUUCACUUUAGAAAUUCUAUUCUUCAAUCUAUGUAGAACAGAUGCUUUAUAUUCCAUAUGGUAACAGGCUAAACAGUUGAAAAGAAAUAUUCAGUCAACAUCACCACAAUCAAUGGGCAUAUUUCUUAGAAUACAAGAUUUUUUUGAAAGUUAGAGAUAAGCUCUAAUAAUGGAAGAAUUCUAUAUAUUUUGUGGCUGGAAUGUAGUAGGCACUGAAUAAAUAUCUGUUAAAUGGGAGAUAGAAAUCAAUGUUUCGUGGCAUGUCAGAGAGAGAACACAGGUCUGAACAGGUGAUGAGUUUAUCACAGUAGAGUUUAUUUCUUUAUGUGUGUAUGCUCAGAAAUUCACAGGAUAAGACUUGAAGCAAAUUUUAAUAAAUUCCAUCCUAAUAUCUGUUUUUAUGUGAUAUUUGUGUAGGGUCAGAACAGGAUCAAAGGGAACCUGUUAGGGUUGCUUUUGGCUGCAACUAACAGAAAACUGCCCCAGUGACCCUAACAGGUAGGGCUUUGGUUCCUGUAGCAAGAAGUUUGGGAGUAGGUUGUACAGACUAGGUGUGGCAGCUCAAUCAUGCCACCAGGAACCUAAAUUCUUCCAUGUUUCUGUUCUGCCAGACGUAGUUUGUAGGCUUUUGCCCUCAAUCUUGGCAUCUUGUGAUUGCAAGAAAGAUGCUUGCCCGCCAUGUCUUAUGCUAAUAUUUUAGCAAACAAAAAUGAAAGAUAAAGGAGUGAAGAGGGAGGCGGGAAUGGAUGGUGACUAUAUCAGGAAAGCAACAGCUUUCUCAUCAAUCCCAGCAGAUGUCUGCUUACAUUUCUUAGAGCAGGACUGUGCCACCUGAUUAGGAUGCAAGGGAGUCUGGGAAAACAAGUAUUUUUAGCUGGACAGAUUGCUGCCUCUCCAAAAAGUCAGGGUCCUAUUGAAAAACAAAAGUUAGGAAAGAUAUUGGAUAGGCAACUAGCUGUGUUUGCUCUAGGACUGAAGAGAGGAAAUUAGUUUAAUUACCAGGACAUAAAAUCUGAGCAGGGCUCUUUCGAUUUCACCCUUCUGAAAUAUAAAUUCAGAAUCAGAGUAGUUCUAUGGGGUAACAAUAUAAAUGGACAUUUUUGUCAUGGUUGAGUUAAUUCAGACCUUGCAGUUUUCACAAUUUGACAAAUAGGUGAAGAUUCCUUGAUAGAUUCUCAUCUUGCAUUUUUGGCUUAGGGGAAAAAAAAGUUAUUGCCUUCAUACUGCCCUGAACUUAGUAUCUUCUAUUCUCUGGAUAAAUUUUUAAUUUAUUUCUCUUUUGAAGAGCAUUUUCUAUAAAUAGUUCCCUGAGAAGUAUCACAAUGAAAUUUGUAUCAAAAUGUGAAUGGUUGACAAUAUUUUUCUAUGUUGUCCUAUUUGGGGACUAUUUACAGUUUAAUGGGAUAAUUGCCAAAAAGUCAAUCUCUGCUUUCAGCAGUUACUGAAAGAGUGAUUAAAAGAGAUAUUUUUGAGUCGAGGACUCUUAACCUCAGUUAUUUAGUCACUCAUGUGCACAGCUCUCUUUCUUAUCUAAGUGUAGGACCUUGUUUUUGUUUACCAAGAGUGGCAUAAAAGUAAUAAUAAUUUUUCCUUAAUACUUGACAAUGUGCUGAUGGAACAAUAACUGUUUUAGCAGAUGAGCUAUAUGAAUUAUGUGAUUCCGUGGUUUUAUGUUCAUAGAAAUAUAAGUCAAUAAUGGUCAGGAUUUGGAGAUGUUCAAAUCUUCAAUAAGUUUCUGGCUGUUUCUUGAAUUCAUUGGUUCUUCAUUUUGACAAACCUUUUAUUAAUAUAAUGUAAGGAGAUAUUUGGCAGAAAGGUAUAAUUUAAACUGAUCUGUUAUAAAUUUAAGAAACUAGCAAAGGAGGAUGAAAUAAGUUGUUUCUGAAUGAAACAAUGGAGACCUGUUGUCAGGUGUUCGUGAGUGUUGUAUGUACACCCAGAAAGUCUUUAUAAUCUUUAAAACAAUUUGUCUUCACCUGCAAACCACACAGCCUUAUCAUGUAUUUACUGCUCACCACCCUACUUUCUCCUAUAAUUUUGCUUCUCUGCCUGCAGGCUUAACAUUCUUGGCAAAACAGAAAGCUUAUGGGAAAUAUUCAUUGACUUCUUCUUGUAGCAAUGUUAUUUCUGCAUAGUAGUCAGGCUAAGGAUGCCAGAACAACUUCCUUGAUUUUACCAGAAGGGCUCUAAGGGACCCUUAUACCUCAAUAUAUGAGCAGAAACUCUCAUUCUAAUAUUUCACAGAAAUGCAUAGAAUACUCCCUUUACUUGUGUUGUUGGAAGAUAUUACUUUUACAGAAUUAGAGCCUAGGCUCUAGGCAUAUCUAGACAGGAGGUAUCUGAAGGAGCAUUGUCUCUAUUGUUACUUGGUCUAGAACACUCACUUGUCCCCAUCCUAUUAUCUUCCAUGCAAGUCCCAUUCUAAGGCUGUGUGAAGCCUUUCUCGCUAUUGAACUGCAUAACAGUCCCAGACUUUCUGCCCUGGGAUGGGAGUGGGGAAAGAGGAUGUAUUGGAUGAAUGUAAAUAGGUCUUUUUCAAUAAUUGUCAAGGGACAAGGAAUGUCAGAGAAGGAUUUAUUUGCCCACACAUGGAGCACGUUGUCCCUGACUGUCCAAAAUAAUCCUCUUAGUCCCAGAGAAUCCUAUCCCUCAGGAAUGCCACAGGAAUAUCCCCAAUUAGCAGAAUGUAAUUACUUGAGUGGGAAUCAUGUACUAAAUGAUGAACCUCUCCUCCCAAAUGGCAUGAGCCUUUGAAUAAUUUAGGAGGCGAGAACAAUUAAAUACAAGAGGACCAUCCUGACAGUAAGGAGAUGUUUGUGCUGCACUCAUGAACAUACAUGCUAUAAGGAAGGCUAGAACUAGAGAAGUGUAACUAGCUUUAAAGUGGAAUAGAGUUAAUAUUUGCAAUCUAUAUAAAGCUCAUUUAAAUACACAGAAUGACCUGAAAAUCUUAGAUAGACAAAUGAACAAAGGAUAUGAAAAGGCAACUUAUCCAGGAGAAAAUAAAACCAGUAGACAAGGAAAAUAUUCACUCUUAUAAGGAAUCCAAGAUGUUCAGAUUUAAACAACAACAAGGGCCCAUUUCAUGUCUUUUAAAGUAAACAAAACUUUAAACAAUGAUAGUGUGAUACAAUGAUACUGAUGAGAUUGUGGGGAAGCCAUUAUCUAUUGCUGGCUGCAUUGUAAAACUUUUGGAAAUAAAUUUGAUAAUUAUAUUAUAGCAAAACCCUUGAGAAAUGUUUUCAACCAGUAAUCCUAAGAAAUAACUCAAUAAAAUAAUAAAAACCACAUGAACUGAGAAUAAUUGUUGUAUUAUCUAUAGCUGCAAAGUUUAGAAACAAAUAUUUAAAAAUAGGAUAAUAGUUACAAAUUAUGAAUUAUAAAACAAUGAAAUGUAAUUUGUCUUUUACAAUGGAUGGUCAUAAUAUGCUAGCUAGAAUAUGAUACAGAAAAUAUGACAAAAUUUAAAUUACGGUAUGGAUAUAACUAUGUAAAAUAUAUAACUAUACAUAUGUGCAAACCCUAAAAAGAAAUUUAUGAAAAUGAUAUCAAUGUGUUAGUGUGGUAUGAUUUUCAGGGAGUUAUUUCAUUCUAAAAUGUAUUUUAAUAUGAUAAAAUGUUUAAAGAUCUGUAAUGAGUUCACUGAGGAGCCUUAACUUGUUGAGGGAUAAACAUGGAAUAGAUUUAUUUUUCUGAUAACUUUGUGCAAUGCUGACCUCUCUGAUUUUUGCUGAGGUGCUACCUUCAAUUCCAUGACUUUCCAAUCACUUGUCAGAACAGUCUCUCUGGUUUUUUAAACUCAGUGUUGUGUGUUUUGCAGAUUUCAUUUUACAUUCAAUUCAAAACCUUCCCCUUUCCCUCUAUAUUCAGUUAUAUUUAUGGCUCAUUUUCCUUCCCUCUUUCCUGCACUUCUCUGGUGGACAUAGCUUCCUUUCUUACCUGUUUCCCUUCAAGAGGCUGUUCUCUAUUUAUGCUUACUGGCCAUCAUUCUUCUCUGCUUUCUUGGAGGGCCUGGUAAUGCCCUCUCCAUAAUCUCCUGGAAUGAGAGCUUCAGGUUGGUGUUAAUCUUUUUCCCUCUCACAGCCACAUACUGUAUAGUUUCUUACUGGUGGGGUCCCCUUGGUUUGUACAACAGGCUUAGAGAGUUGAUACUGGCAAGAGAGGUCAAGCCCAGCCAUUUAACUCAUGGUCUACAUAGAAAAUCAUGGAUCAUGGUCCAUAUUUAACAGUGAAUUACAGGCUGUCUCACUGCCUUUUCUCAUACACCACAUUCCUCUUGCCCUUUCUUCACACUCAGCAUCAGCUGAGUAGCCUGGAAAGUAGCCUGGAAACUUUUAAAUAAAUUAUCAGCAGUUGACAACUUAGCGGCAGGCAGGACUAUUCCAGCAAUCAUUGAGAAUAAUUCUACUGGGCCCUUCCUCUACUUUGGCAAGAAGAAGUAUGCCAUCAGCCCUACUCCAUGGGAAAGCAAUUGCCUUCAUUUUCAACUUUCCCAUAUCAAGUCUUUCUUUUGUAUUGAUUAAGGUGGUUGUGUUGGUGGUCUUUAUGGUUACAUUAGAAGAGUGUCUCUCUGUAAGUCCUAGAAGGAAUAUACUGGCUCUAAUUACUGGUGUCUCUUUGAACUUAGAACAUCAAGUAUUUAGAUGCCAGUUCUAGUUCUCACCUUACCAUGUAAAAACAGAAUUAUCAUUAAAAGAUAGUUUAAGUGUGUUUAGUUUAUAGGACCAGGGGAAUAAACAAGGUGCACUCUUACUACAAAAUAUACUAAACAUCAUCAAUAUUUGUUGUCUGGUUGAUUAAGUGUUUUUUGAAAAAUACCCCAAAACAAUAACUGAAAAUUGUAGAAAGCAUCUUAACCUAGUCACACAUAUGAUUUAUUUUCAGAGUUACCGUCAUUAAGUCCAUCUGCUGAAAAUCCUCCCUCUCUCCAAAACAACUGCCUUGCAUAUAUCCUCUUCUACUUGGGCUAAAAUUGUCACUAUUAUGGGUUGGGGAGGGAGGUUGGAAGAGAAGAGGAAGAGAACAAGAAUAAUGGAGUAGUUGGGAAGACAGGGCAUCCAAAAAAAAACUUUACUUACUUCACAUUUUACCAGGGCCCAGCAAUAUUGCUCACAUGAUAAUCAGUAGGAAUUUUGUUUCCUUUUCAAAUUGAUUAAUGAGUACUUAUUAACUCACAGGCAAUUAAAGGGCCAGUGGGCACAAAUUCUCCGUAUUUUCAGUAAAUGCCGUUAUUGCCUAACACUAAAUAAUAUAGAGACUACUAUUUUUAAUCUUUACCACUAAUUAGAAGACAAUGGCACAACUUCAAAUCAAUCAAUUCUUCACAGCUAAAAAUGGAAGUACUUGUUAGAGUAAAAGCCGAUGAAGGAGAGAGAGAGUGCCAGAAAGAGAGAGAGAGAUUUUCUUUUGUUGUUCCUGUUUAUGAACUUCUAAAAGUUAGAAAUAUUUCACCUAAAUCUUUUUAUUUUAACUCAAAAUGUUAUUCUAUUGGGGUUAUUUAUCUAGAUUCCAACAAACACUGUCAAUUUUUUCUUAUGGAUUUUGUUUGAGACGUACAUCACAGGUAGAUAUGUUUUUAAGUCGAUCAAUUUGACAUAUUAGCUUAAAAUACAGCCUGUCCCUUAAGACUCAAUGUCUUUGAAAAUAGGAAGCUUGAGGUUGAAAUCACUUAAGGCUGAGUUAGAAAAAUGGCCUAUAUUAAAGUCAGUAAGCUUGUUUUUCUUUUGAUCAUGUGUAAACAGAAAAUCAUGUCUCACAGGUGAAAUUGUGUAUUAUCAACCUGCCUUUCCAUUGUUCUUACAUUCUGAAAUGAAAGCCACUAAUGAUGAUUCUUUAUUUAGAGCUAUGUGUUCGUUUUACUAGACUGUCUUUAAAAUAAUAUAUAAUUGGAUUCAGUAGAUUCAGUAAAACAUGAAAAAAUACAUGCUAGACAAAUCUAUAGUAGCUGCAGAAAUCUAUAGCAAAUACAAAAAUCUAGAGUAAAUUGACACUGGAAGGACAAGAGCUAAAGGGUCUGUUGACUGUAAAUUUUGAUAUGUGCACAAUGCCUACCUCCAGAAAUAAUAGCCAAACAGCAUAAUGAAACAUAAGCUUCAAAUGGGCCAAGUGAACAAGCAUUUGACUUUUCUUGAAAAUGAUAUAGGCUCAGUUAUCUGUUUAAUCACCAUUAAUUUUGCAUUUAACUGCCAACUGCCUUGUUUUCUAUUUAAGUUUAAACAUACAUAAAGCUUUUCUUUUCCAUUAUAUUUCUUUUCAAUUUCUACAGUGAUCAUUUUGCAUCACAAAAGGAAUUUAAAGAGUAAUGCAAGGUACGCCUCCUAAGCCACAAGGUCAGUCUCUUCUGGUGGUGUUCUGUUUAUUUGUGUCUUACCUUGAAUUCCAUGUCGUCUUGGACACUUUUCUCCUUCUGUAAACUUAUGAUGUCUCAUUACAACUUUGCUGAACUUGUGGCACUUAGACAUGACUUCUUUCCUAGCUUUAGUUCAAUUGUUCACCCCAUGACUUGGAGUAACAAGUAACAAAUUAGUAGCUUAUUUAAUAGGGAUAAAGACUGAUAGUCUCACUCAUGCUCUUUUUACUGGGAGUCAGUAGGCAGGAAGCUAAAAUUAGCUCAGUUUUGUCAAAUUGAUUUGAGUUCAUCCAUGGUAAAAUGAAAUCUAAUAUUUUCCUUCCUCCUACAUGGUUAGAAAUUUUGGUUCUCAGCAGGUGUUGAAUUUAAAUAGUAAGAACAAAUGGAAGCCACAGCUAUGGCUCUGAGAACAAUUAUAUAGGUCCUUGAAAAUCCAUUUCCAAUCUAUAUUAAAAAAGAAAUGUUAUUUUGCAGCAAUGAGGAAUUAAAGUCUGCUGAAAUUAUUUUUUUUUCUGCUUCAAGAAAUCAGUCCAGAAAUCCCAAACUUUUGUAAGUCAUGGUCUUCUUUGAAACCACAUUUCCCUUAUGUUUCACAUUGUCAUUGCAUGAAUUCUGUUACUUUGAUGUCCUCAAUAAUUUAUUACUUUUUGCAUUUUUCUUAUGACACAGACCACAGAGCUAUAAGAAACUGACCAUUGCAUUUCACGUGACUUGGGCUUAAAAUAUGAUAAAGGAAAAGAGUAAAAGUUGUCAUGGUAUCUUAUAUUAAAAAAGGUAUUCUAUGUAACAAAGCUUAUUAAAUUCAAUGAGCUUCUCUGUAAAAUAAUGACCUUUUUAUCAAAUUUUAUAUAAUGAAUAUUUUUCUGCAAUGAAAUUCUACUUGUUUCUCUCUUAUAAUCACUAUCACUAAGCAACAGACUUAUUUGCUGCUUGCAAUAAUGAGAUACAGAUGAAUUCAUUAUAAUUGUUUCAUCCCACCAUCCAACAACAGUUACAAAUAAACUCUCCUAAAGUUUUUGCUCUUUAAUUACCAAAAAAAGUUCAGCCAGAAAAAAGACUCAAAUACCUAAAGUUUGAUUUCACUGACCCCGAACAAUUACAGUAACUAAAACUAAAAAUGGCAGAUACUACGCAACAUCUUCCACUUUUCCUGGCAGAAAACCUUCUUUUCCUCACAAGCUAAUUCAAAGUAUGAAUCCUAUAAGAUUCUUUUCAUCUUUACCACUUGCUGAUGGCAAACUGAAUUUUAAGUAAGACUCCCUUAUGAAGCAAUUGUGAUGCCUCAUGCAGUUUGUUAUACUUUUGAACUAUAGCAACCUGGUAACAUAGGUGAAAGCCCAUAAUGAUUGUGAGCAUGUGUGUGUGUGUGUGCGAUUUUAUGAUGCAUGGGUUUUUAUUGUUCCUAUCUUUGUGUCACUGUGUACCCAAAGAUACUGUCACUGUUCUUCUCCCCACCAGAAGUCAGAAGCAUAACACCUCUUUGUAAUCUUAAAAACAGUCAUACUUUCUAUAAAUAUUCAAAAUACAAUCGCUUACCUGGAUUAAUAGAAAAUAUUUUAAAAGACUCCAAAAUUGGAAACUAGGUCAGUCCCUAUUCUCUUUCAAAUUUUGGAAAAUAAAUGAGAUUGGAAAAACACCAAGGCACACAGAAAAAUUCAUAUUCUAUCAAGGUCAAGCACAACCACCUACUUGGAGCUCAGCAUGAUGCUAUCACUCCUGAGCCUUUUCCCCUACUUCUAAUAUUUUCCUUUUUUUUGAGAUGGAGUCUAGAUCUGUCACCCAGGCUACAGUGCAGUGGCAUGAUCUCAGCUGACUGCAACCUCUGCCUCCCGGGUUCAAGCAAUUCUUGUGCCUCAGCCUCCUGAGUAGCUGGAAUUACAGGCAUGUGCCACCAUGCUGACUAAUUUUUGUAUUUUUAGUAGAGAUGGGGUUUCCUCUUGUUGGCCAAGCUCGUGUCGAACUCCUGGCCUCAAGUGAUCUGCUUACCUCAGCUUCCCAAAGUGCUGGGAUUACAGGUCUGAGCCCCUGUGGCUGGCACCAUCUUCUAAUAUUUUCUAAUACUGAAAUCCUAAGCAAUGGAAAGCAACAUGAUAGGGGACUUCACAUUCUUUAAGGACCCUUGAUCGUUCUGUCUCAUUUGUUAUGGAUUUCAAAUUUUUAUUUUGCCUGUUGAACAUCAAUUAUUAGUUAUCAUUAGUUUUCUAUGGCCAAUAGUUAUUUUUCUUUACUAGAAUUUUAUGGGCUUUUGUUCUCACACAUUUUGUGGCACAUAUAUUCCUUUGGGUUCACUUUCCUCUUUGAUAAAGUACAUCCUUUAAUUUUACGGGGAGGGUCUGUGUGUGGUAAACUCUAAGUCUUGGUAGAUCCAAUAAUAUGCAGAUUUUGCCUCAUUCUGAAGUAAUAGUUUAAGCAGAUAUAAAAUUCUAAGUUGACAUCUUUUUUCCUCAGUGCUUUCAAGAUAUUGUUGUAUUGUUUUCUGGAUUUUAUUGCUUUAGAUGUGAAAUCUUUGUGAAUCUAUUUUUAUUCCUUUGCAGUUAAAAUAUUUUCCAAGGUAGGUUUUAAGAUGGCUUGUUAAAAAUCCUCGGUAUUUUGCAGUUUAGCAUGAGUUUUGGUGAGGACUUAUUUUUAUUAUCCAGUAAUUAGGAAUGCAUUCUCUAUUUCAUGUCUUUCUUCCAUUUAAAAAAAUUAUUAACAAUGAUCUCUUCAAAUAAUGCUUCUCAUCCAUUUCCUCUGUUUUAUUCUUCUCAGAGUUUUAUUAGAAGAAUGUGUAAAUUCCUCAUUUUGUCUUACAUUUCAAAAUUGCUCGUCCUAUUUUAAAAGCCUCAUUGUCUCUGGCUUAUUGGGUGCAUUUUUUUUUCUUACUCCUUUUCCUACUGUCCAGUAAUUCUGUUUUCAAUUACGUCUAAUUUAGUUUCAUCUACCC
rnacentral:lncRNA from 1 species